AUGAGAGUAAUAUAAUAAUAUAGUUAGAUUUAGGUGGCUGAAGUGAUAUUAGUAGAUAAAUCUGGGGUAUAAGUAUAAAUAAUAAACUAGCAACUUAGUAACCAAGGAAAUGACGUAAGUUUACAUCUAUCAGAUAAUUGAGAAGAAUGGAAUUUUGUUUAUUUGGAAAAUUGAGGCAGAGCCGCGUGUCUCGAGGUGUAGAGUCAUCAUCGUCUUCUUCCUCCGAUAAAUACCUCCUCAUCUCGUCUCAAUUUCAUUCAUCACUCCCAUUCUUACUCAUCAUAUAAACUGCGCACCACCCAACAAGAGAUUGAAUAUCAAAAAAACCACAGAGAGAAGUUAAGAAUACGAGGCGGCUAGGGUUCAAUCAUCGAAGAAAAGAUGGUGACUUGACGACCUUCCCGGUGAAGUUUCAUCGAGCGGGGGUUUUACAGGCUUUAGUUCGGUGGAGAUUCCGACCCCUUUGAUUUGAUGACGAUUGCCUACUGUUAAUUUAAUAAUCUGAUUUGAGGUUUUGAGAUCGAGGAACCGUGAUCGACAUGUACUCUUGAUUGGACGAGAGACAGGUGCAGCUUGAACGAAUCAAAGGAUUUCCCGUCCGAGUAGUUACCUUGUUUAUAUUUGUAAAAUAAUGGUUCGAUUAAGUUAAGAAUGAUCGCUGUCUUGUAUUAUAAAUAUCAGCGUUUGAGCUUAUUUAUGUUAGAAUAUUGUAAUCUCAUAAGCUAGAAGCUGCUGUUGUAAAUGUCCGGAACCUUUGUACUUUACCUUGCUAGAAGUGAGGGUGUUAAUAAAUAAAUCGUACGUAUUUUUAUGAACUAUAGUUUGAUUAGUAAUUAGUAUUAUCCAUGAAAAAAAAAUAGACCGGGUAAUUUCAUAGAGUAAUUUGACAAACGCUUCAUAGAAGGCGGGCGUCACAGGUGGUAUCAGAGCUUAGGGUAGGCUCUUCCACAAAUUACGAAUUUAGCAAGUCUAGAUGCCUUUUGGAGAAUGCGUUCGACGUAGAUCCCGACUUAUUCCCUCUUUUAGUGAUUAAUAAUGAACCUACAUGCGCUAUCACAUAUGUUGAAUCUGAUUACGAUCGAGUUAGGCUACGUAGUCUUCUCAUAAGCCGUCACAAUGUUUGCUACAGUAGUCGACUGUUUUAUCUAGCAUAUGCAUUUAUGAUGUUCUCUUUAUGCAUAGUAAGAAAGCCUGUCUAUCGUAGAUAUGUGAAUAGGGGCUUUUGAAGCACAUGGUUAUAGUCAUGUGCCUCGAUAUAUGCUAUUUAUUCGAUGUAAGGUAGGUAUUAAGAGCUGAUACAUAGUAACCUCGUUAAAUUUUGUAAAUCCAACUCGUAUUCGAGUAUAUAUGAUAACUAUCAUUCAGUAAAGAUCCCUUUUCUAGGUUAUUCUAUAUAUUUUUCGUGCUCGUACGUAUACUUCUAUACUCGAUUAAUCCGAGUUAGUGUCGCGCAUAAUUGAUAUCAAGUCAAUUGACACUAACUAUAUAACCUGACCUUGUAUAACCCGACCCAGAAUGUCUUUUCUGGGGAAACUUCCCGAGAACCUAACUCAAGCAUGUUCAUUUGCACUAUCUCCGAAUCGUCAUGAAGGUUCGUCUCAUAGCCCCGAAGACGAUGAAACAAUGAUGGAACCAAAUAAUACCAAGACUCACGAAGCGACCGAAGCGCCACAAGUUCCUCGAGAGGCAGCAACGCCAGAAGUACAAUCAAUGCUAACUAUGUGGCAACAAUUUAUGCAAUUCUGUCAACAACCACCACAGACGGGCGUGCCAAUGGCCGAACAUGCGAUGCCUAUGGAGGACCAAAGGUUUGAGAGAUUUCUUCGAUUUCGACCACCGAAAUUCGUAGGCGAGCCCGAUGAUCGCAAGGCAGAAAAUUGGCUUAAUGAGUUGGAAAAGAUUUUUGAAGUUACUAACUAUUCUGACUCUCAAAAGGUUAGUUAUGCAGCUUUCCAGCUAGAAGAAACUGCACGUCAUUGGUGGCGUGUGGUGAAUCAGAAGUGGGCUCAAAACAAUACUGCUCGAACUUGGGCUAACUUCGUCCAAGAAUUCAAUGAGAAGUUCAUACCAAAAGUGGUGAAAAAUGCUAGAGAGAGGGACUUUAUGAAUCUUACUCAAGGCACAAUGACGGUGGCACAGUACGAAGCUCGUUUCAAUUAUCUAAUUCGCUAUGCUCCACACUAUAUGAACGAUGAAACUCGCAAAGUACGCAAAUUCAUUGAAGGAUUGAAAUUAGAACUUCGUUGGGCUAUAAUUUCGUCGGAUGCAACAAAUUAUAGCGCGACGAUUAAUAAGGCGAUGCAGAUCGAGUCGGAAAUGCGAGAGUUGACCCACUUUGAAGAGCGAGCGAAGAGAACUAAAUUUACAAACUUGAGAGGAAAUUCAAAUCGAAAUCCCUUUUCGGAUCCGAAAUAUCCACGAAGGGAUCAAGAACAUUUUACGAAUCGUAACCCAGUGUCAAAUCAUCAAAGCGGGGCUCCCCCUCAUCUAGCGAUGCAGAGGAAGUGUGGAUUUUGCGGACUCUCCAAUCAUGAAGAAAAUGAUUGUCGAAGGAAGAAAGGAUUGUGUGUUCUUUGUGGAAGUGCUGAUCAUAUCGCACGUGAUUGUCGUAGGAGACAAGAAUCUCUUCAUAUUCCACAAGGACAAAAAGGAAAGGCUCCAAUGGAGCAGCAAAGCAAGGCCAAAAUUCCUGCCCGCGCUUAUGCACUUGCUGGGGUGGACGAAACUGCCGAGCCAACCGCUGUCGUAGAAGGUAAUGUUUGUCUACUUGGUAAAUGCGGUAAACCUCAUUUAGUCCCGGAACAACUCAUUGUUUAUCGUAUCGUCUUUCGCAAAUGAGUUAGUUUUAGAAGGCUAACCAUUACCUUAUAAUUUUGAGGUGAGCACUGCAAUAGGCUCCAACAUACUUACUAAUAUAGUAUGUGUAGAGCUUGUGCUAUCGAGUUAGAGAGUAAAGAAGACUGUGCAAAUCUUCUAAUCAUAGGUUAUGAUCUUAUUUUGGGGAUGGAUUGGUUGCAUAAGCACCAUGCCCAAUUAGAUUGCAUAAGAAAGAAAACAUGGGAACUUAACUUCAAUUUAGUUAUAUUGCACAUCCUCAAACGGAUGGGCAAUCAAAGAGAGUGAUUGGAUUUUUGGAGGACAUGAUUGAGAGCAUGUGCCAUGGAUUAUAGAGAAAGUUACCGUUAAUCGAAUUCGCGUACUACAACACUUACCAGACGACCAUACAAGUGGGCACCAUAUGAGGCGCUAUAUGGUAGGUCGAUCUCUAUUGCAUUGGGAACUCGAUAGAUGGAGAGCAACCAAAGACGGUCGAGAAAGAGCGCUAAGGCCGGAACUAAUACAAGAUGCUAUUUUGUGCAUAUCAUCAAGCGACGGAUGAAAGCCUCACAAGAUCGGCAAUAGAGCAAUGGGCGUAGAAAGAACAUCAAGUUUGAAGUUGGCAAUAUGGUGUUUCUCAAGGUGUCGCCAAGAAAAAAAAAAGAUUUAAGCGUAUUGGAAAAGAAGGGAAUCUUAGCCCACGUUAUAUAGGACCUUUUGAAAUUUAUGAACGUAUAGGUCAUGUAGCCUAUAGGUUAAUCCUUCCACCCAAUAUUACCAAUAUUCACGAUGUAUUCCUGGUGUCUCAACUCAGAAAAUACCAUCCAAAUCCACCUCACAUGAUUUCUCAUGAAGGACUCCAACUCGUAGGCAACAUGUCAUACGAAGAACAACCGGUUCGUAUCCUCGAUAAAAAAAAAAAAAAAAAUAGAAUUUCAAGAAUUACGAAAUCGAAGGAUUCCAUUGGUGAAAGUAUUGUGAAGAAAUCACGAUAUAGAAGAGGUUACAUGGGAACGAGAAGAAGAGAUACGAAAUCACUACCCAGAACUUUUCCACACAGGUAAUUAUAUUAACAAUAAGUAAAUCUGGGGACCAGAUUUCUUUAACAGGGGGAGAGUGUAACACCCCUUAAUUUAUAUUAUGUGGUAUAAUAAUAGUUUAUAUAUGUAUAUUAUUGAAGUUUAUUCAUUAAUGAGAGUAAUAUAAUAAUAUAGUUAGAUUUAGGUGGCUGAAGUGAUAUUAGUAGAUAAAUCUGGGGUAUAAGUAUAAAUAAUAAACUAGCAACUUAGUAACCAAGGAAAUGACGUAAGUUUACAUCUAUCAGAUAAUUGAGAAGAAUGGAAUUUUGUUUAUUUGGAAAAUUGAGGCAGAGCCGCGUGUCUCGAGGUGUAGAGUCAUCAUCGUCUUCUUCCUCCGAUAAAUACCUCCUCAUCUCGUCUCAAUUUCAUUCAUCACUCCCAUUCUUACUCAUCAUAUAAACUGCGCACCACCCAACAAGAGAUUGAAUAUCAAAAAAACCACAGAGAGAAGUUAAGAAUACGAGGCGGCUAGGGUUCAAUCAUCGAAGAAAAGAUGGUGACUUGACGACCUUCCCGGUGAAGUUUCAUCGAGCGGGGGUUUUACAGGCUUUAGUUCGGUGGAGAUUCCGACCCCUUUGAUUUGAUGACGAUUGCCUACUGUUAAUUUAAUAAUCUGAUUUGAGGUUUUGAGAUCGAGGAACCGUGAUCGACAUGUACUCUUGAUUGGACGAGAGACAGGUGCAGCUUGAACGAAUCAAAGGAUUUCCCGUCCGAGUAGUUACCUUGUUUAUAUUUGUAAAAUAAUGGUUCGAUUAAGUUAAGAAUGAUCGUUGUCUUGUAUUAUAAAUAUCAGCGUUUGAGCUUAUUUAUGUUAGAAUAUUGUAAUCUCAUAAGCUAGAAGCUGUUGUUGUAAAUGUCCGGAACCUUUGUACUUUACCUUGCUAGAAGUGAGGUUGUUAAUAAAUAAAUCGUACGUAUUUUUAUGAACUA